rnacentral:rRNA from 1 species
UACGUAGGUGGCAAGCGUUGUCCGGAAUUAUUGGGCGUAAAGCGCGCGCAGGCGGUCCUUUAAGUCUGAUGUGAAAGCCCACGGCUCAACCGUGGAGGGUCAUUGGAAACUGGGGGACUUGAGUGCAGGAGAGAAGAGUGGAAUUCCACGUGUAGCGGUGAAAUGCGUAGAUAUCGAGAGGAACACCAGUGGCGAAGGCGAGUCCCUGGACAACUCCUGACACUGAGGCACGAAAGCUAGGGGAGCAAACAGG